CAAAAAAAAAAAAAAAAGAGAGAGAGAGACGGCUUAAUUUGGCUUUAGGCAAGAAGCCUUUGGUACAAGGGUUUGGCCACAAUCCGACAAGAGAGGAAGUGGUUAAUGGUGGUUAUAGAAGACAAGGCAGUUGAUAUGACACAGAAUCCACCAAACAGAAUGGAUGCUGAUCAGAGUGAACACUGGCUGUUACUCAGGUGCUGUCAGCUGAGCAAUCUUGACAAUGCUCAAUGGUUUGACUUGAUGGGAUUGGAUCUUUGAAAAGGGAGUGCCACAGUUCAGAAAUUUUGCUCAUAUUUUGAUACGGCCUUUCAAAGCGAUUGUCUCACUAUGGACAGAAAAGAAACUGGGAGUCAAAGCUGAGCGAUGACUUGGACACCUGCCUGGCAUCCUCCUCUCCCCUCCCUGAACCACUGAAUCACACUGAUCCCAUCAAGAGUCCCCAAACACCUGAUUAAAGGUAAAUGAAAAAGACAUCCAUUCAAG
ensembl:lncRNA